UAGCUGUGACGAAACAUGCGCUUCUUGUGGCAGUUGGGUCCGCCACUACUUUCUGAUCUAAGCGACGAAAGCAAUAGUGCAUCUGAGCUA
rfam:Spinacia oleracea cultivar SynViroflay scaffold2926.con0012.1, whole genome shotgun sequence.